rnacentral:lncRNA from 1 species
AUGGCGACCUGGCAGCGGGGUCGCGGCUGCUGGGAGCGGAGCCCGCCGGAGCCGAGGCCGCGGGCGGGGCCGAGGGGUCCCCGCGCCGAGGAGGAGGCGGCGUCCCCGGCCGUCCUGUCCCUCAGCCACUUCUGCAGGUCGCCCUUCCUCUGCUUCGGGGACGUGCGCCUGGGAGCCUCGCGGACGCUGCCCCUGACCCUGGACAACCCCAACGAGGAGGCGGCCGCCGUGCGGCUGUCCCGCGGCCCCGCCGCCGAACGCGGCUUCACGAUCUGGCCGAGAGCCUUCGUGCUGCAGCCUAAAGAAAAAAUUGUUGUUUCUAUUACCUGGACACCGUUGAAAGGAGGCCGAGUAAGAGAGACUGUGACAUUUCUUGUAAAUGAUAUUCUGAAACACCAAGCUAUAUUACUAGGAAAUGCAGAAGAGCCGAAAAAGAAAAAGAGGACUCUUUGGGAUACUAUUAAUAAGAAGAAAGUAUCGGCCUCUUCAAGACAUAACAAGAAGGUUUCAAAUAUUCAAAAUGUAAAUAAAACAUUUAAUGUUUCCCCCAAAGCUGACAAAGUUAGGAGCCCGCUACAAGCCUGUGAGAAUCUGGCUACAAAUGGAAACUGUUCCCCACCAGAAAGCAAUCCUUUAAUCCUUGAAGAAAAUAAACUCCCUAUAUCACCUAUCAGCCCCGCAUUCCAAGAGUGCCACAGGGAGACCUGCUUGCCACUUCAUGUUCGUCGCUCUACGACCUACACGUCCCUUCCUGCUUCUGAAAAUGGGGAACUGGAGAAAGCAGACGGUGCCAACACUGCAAAAGAUUUUCAUUUUAAUGAGAAAGGCAUAACUGAAACCUCCUUUGACUCCAUAGACAAUGUUAAUAGUCAGACUGAAGAGAACGGUAAACUUACUCUUACCCCAAAUUAUUCUUCAAGUUUGAACAUCACACAAAGCCAAGGACAUUUUCUAAGUCCGGAUUCUUUUGUGAAUAAUAGCCAUGCAUCUAAUAAUGAACCAGAAUUCGUGAAGUGCCUCUCACCAGAUAUGUUUGUGAAAGGUAAUACAAGGCCUGUGCUUUUGGAAUCAAAAAGGGUACAUGAAAUCUGUCGGAAAAUUCUAAGUCCAGAUUCUUUCAUAAAUGAUAACUAUGGACUAAAUGAGGAUCUAGAAACAGAGUCCGUCAACCCAAUUCUCUCCCCAAAUCAAUUUUUAAAAGAUAAUAUAGCAUAUAUAUGUAUAUCUCAGCAAACAUGUCAAUUGCCAUUAUCAACUAGACGUUUUCAGGACUCACAGCCUCCUCAAGACGAGAGAAAAAAUGCAGCUGUACCUUGUAUUUCUGAAUGUCAGCAGUUAGAAUCUCCAAAAGCUACUUUUGAAGCAUCCAAAGCUUUAGAAGUGAUGUCAAACUCUUACACUUUUAAAAAACAGAACCAGCCUAAAUUUUCGGCAGUUCAGGAUAUUUCUAGUCACAGCCGUGAAAAACCUAUUAAGAGACGCCCAAUACUUUCUGCCACUGUGACUAAAAGAAAGCCCACUUGCGCUGUAGAAAACCAAAUGGAGACUGUUAAACCAAAGGCAAAAAGAUGUCUCAAUGUUGUAGUGGGUGACUGUGAAAAAGAAACAGAUGAUCAAAAAGAGAAAGAUGAUUUUCAUCCUCUUCUUCCAACUAGAGAUUUAAUACUGAGCAGACCUAAGAGCUCUAAAAACAUUGUAACUCCUCCCUGCAAGGCAGCUUCAGUUGCUCGUAAAAGAAAGAGUAAGGGACACACAGGAGAUGAAAAUGUGAGGGUAAGAGUUACAGAAUGCUCGGAAGUGCAAGAAGUCAAAAGGACCCAUUUUUCUCCUCUGGCAUCUAAAACAUCAACUGUUAAACACACACACAAAGUGCUAACCUCCUCCUUGAAACGUGUUAGCCACAGAGAGAAAGUAAACCUGAAGAGGAAAACAGAUUCGUUAGGAUACAGAACUCCUACUUCUAAAACAAACAAAAGGACAAGACCCUUUGUUCCUGUGGCUCAGUCUAACUUGACCUUCAUAAAAGCGCUAAAAGCAGGUAUACCUAGACAUCCAAUGCCGUUUGCUGCAAAAAACAUAUUUUAUGAUGAACGCUGGAAGGAGAAGCAGGAACAGGGCUUCACUUGGUGGCUAAAUUUUAUAUUAACUCCUGACGACUUCACUGUAAAAACAAAUAUUUCUGAAGUAAAUGCUUCCACUCUUCUUCUGGGAGUAGAGAGUCAACAUAAAAUAAGUGUCCCGAAAGCUCCUACCAAGGACGAGGUGUCUCUCAGAGCUUACACAGCUCGGUGCAGGUUGAACAGGUUGCGUCGUGCCGCAUGCCGCUUAUUUACUUCUGAAAAAAUGGUUAAGGCUAUGAAAAAGCUUGAAAUUGAAAUCGAAGCUCGGCGGUUAAUUGUUCGGAAAGACAGGCACCUCUGGAAAGAUGUGGGAGAACGGCAGAAAGUCCUGAAUUGGCUAUUGUCAUAUAAUCCUUUGUGGCUACGAAUCGGCCUAGAGACAAUAUACGGAGAACUGGUGCCUCUGGAAGACAACAGUGACGUCACGGGGCUGGCGAUGUUCAUUCUGAACCGCCUGCUUUGGAAUCCUGACAUCGCAGCCGAGUACAGGCACCCGAGUGUCCCUCACCUGUACAGAGAUGGUCAUGAAGAAGCUCUGUCUAAGUUUACAUUGAAAAAACUAUUAUUGUUGGUUUGUUUCCUUGAUUAUGCCAAAAUCUCUAGACUUAUUGAUCAUGAUCCUUGUCUCUUCUGUAAAGAUGCCGAGUUCAAGGCCAGUAAAGAUAUCCUUCUGGCUUUUUCACGAGAUUUCCUAGGCGGUGAAGGUGACCUUUCCCGUCACCUGAGCUUACUGGGAUUUCCUGUGACCCACGUCCAGAUGCCUUUCGAUGAAUUUGAUUUUGCUGUUAAGAAUCUUGCUGUAGACUUGCAGUGUGGGGUGCGUCUCGUGCGAACUAUGGAACUUCUCACACAAAACUGGAAUCUCUCAAAGAAACUCAGAAUUCCUGCAAUAAGUCGUCUUCAAAAGAUGCACAAUGUUGACAUCGUUCUUGAAAUUCUUAAAUCACGAGGAAUUCAGUUGAAUGAUGAGCAUGGAAAUGCAAUCCUGUCUAAGGAUAUUGUGGACAGACACAGAGAGAAAACCCUGGCGUUGCUUUGGAAGAUCGCAUUGGCUUUUCAGGUGGAUAUUUCCCUUAAUUUGGAUCAAUUAAAAGAAGAAAUUGACUUUUUAAAGAAGACACAGAGUAUGAAGAAAACAAUGUCUGCACUGUUAUGCCGUCCUGAUGCUGUUAUCAGUAAAAAAAGAGAUGAAAGGCAUAGCGGUCCCUUUGAACAAUACAGUGAAAGCGUAAAGCUACUGAUGGAUUGGGUAAAUGCUGUCUGUGGCUUCUAUAAUAAAAAAGUGGAGAACUUCACAGUGUCUUUCUCGGACGGCCGGGUGUUGUGUUACCUGAUCCACCACUACCAUCCUUGCUAUGUUCCUUUUGACGCCAUAUGUCAGCGGACCACGCAGACCGUGGAGUGCACACACACUGGUUCCGUGGUGCUGAAUUCAUCAUCUGAAUCUGACGGAAGUUUUCUGGAUUUGUCUUUUAAAUCACCUGAUCAGGAAAAUACUUCAGAACUAUACAAAGAACUCCUGGAAAAUGAAAAGAAAAAUUUUCAGUUGGUUAGGUCUGCAGCUAGAGACCUUGGUGGAAUACCUGCCAUGAUCCAUCACUCAGAUAUGUCAAACACAAUCCCUGAUGAGAAGGUGGUGAUUACCUAUUUGUCAUUUCUUUGUGCGAGGCUUUUGGAUCUUCGUAAAGAAACGAGAGCCGCUCGACUUAUACAAACAACUUGGAGACAAUAUAAGCUAAAAAAAGAUCUAAAACACCAUCAGGCUGUGUGGAGGAGACACAAAGCCAGGAAAUAUUUACGAGAAGUGAAAGCUGCCUGCAGGAUUCAAGCCUGGUACAGGUGCCGGAAAGCACGUAAGGAGUAUCUGGCUGUGUUAAGAGCUGUUAGAAUCAUUCAGCGUUGCUUCUGCACCCAACAGCAGAGAAGACGGUUUUUGAAUGUGAGAGCCUCAGCAGUCAUCAUUCAGAGAAGAUGGAGAGCUGUACUCUCUGGAAGAACAACUCAUGAACAAUCCUUAAUGACGAAAAGACAUCAAGCUGCUUGUUUGAUCCAAGCAAAUUUCAGAGGAUAUAAAGCAAGGCAGGUGUUUCUUCAGCAGAAAUCAGCUGCUUUGACCAUACAGAGAUUCAUACGAGCCAGGAAGGCUGGGAAGCAUCAGAGGAUGAAAUAUGUCGAAUUAAAAAAAUCUACAGUUGUUCUACAAGCACUGGUGCGUGGUUGGCUCGUAAGGAAAAGGAUCUCAGAGCAGAGAGCCAAAAUCCGGCUUCUUCACUUCGCAGCAGCUGCCUUUUAUCACCUGUCUGCUCUUAGAAUUCAAAGAGCCUACAGGCGUCACAUGGCUCUGAAGAACGCUAACAAUAAACAGCUUAACUCAGCCAUCUGUAUUCAGAGAUGGUUUCGAGCAAGAUCACAGCGUAAGAGGUUUCUUCAGAAAUACAGCAUCGUGAACAUUCAGCGUGAAGCUCGAGAACAAGCCAGCCAGCACAGCAGGGCUGCCUCCGUAAUACAGAGAGCUGUCCGCCAUUUCCUCCUCCGUAAAAAGCAGGAAAACUUGAACAAAAGAAUCGCUAAAAUUCAGGCACUAUGGAGAGGAUAUUCUUGGAGGAAGAAAAAUGAUACUUCAAAAACUAAAGCCAUUCGACAGAGACUUCAGUGUGUUAACAGGGAGAUUCGGGAAGAAAACAAGCUCUACCACAGAACAGUAUUUGCCCUGCACCAUCUCCUGACGUACAAGUACCUUUCCACUGUGCUUGAGGCCCUGAAGCACCUGGAGGCAGUUACUAGAUUGUCUUCAGUUUGCUGCGAGAAGAUGGCCCAGAGCGGAGCAAUCUCUAAAGUAUUUGUCUUGAUCCGAAGCUGUAACCGGAGCGUCCCGUGUAUGGAGGUCAUCAGAUACGCCGUGCAAGUCUUGCUUAAUGUCGCCAAGUAUGAGAAGACGACUUCAGCGAUUUAUGAUGUCGAAAACUGUGUAGAUACACUGCUGGAGCUUCUGCAGAUGUACCAGGAAAAGUCUGGUGACAAAGUCGCCGACAAGAGCAGAAGCAUUUUCACAAAAACCUGUUGUUUGUUGGCUGUUUUAUUAAAGACGACAACUCGCGCUUCGGAUAUUCAAAGUAGGUCCAAAGUUGUCGACCGUAUUUAUAGUCUCUACAAACUUACAGCUCACAAGCAUAAAGUGAAUACUGAAAGAAUCCUUUGUAAACAAAAGAAGAAUUCUUCUGUGAGCCUUUCCUUUUUUCCAGAAACACCUGUAAGAACCAGAAUGGUUUCAAGACUCAAACCAGACUGGGUUUUGAGAAGAGAUAAUGUGGAAGAAAUCAUGACUCCUCUGAAAGCUAUUCAGAUGGUGAUGGACACGCUCAGCCUUCCUUAUUAGCAGAGGCAAGCGUCUCGGCCUGUACAAGAAAAGACACAGGAAAGCUCAUCAUGC